UUGAUGUGCGACCGGCAAAUCGGGUGCGGAACACGUACAGAACCUUCCUUCGAGCGGGGAAUAGCCCACGACGAAAUUUGGAUUAAUACCCCAUAGUACAUUAGACGUGGCAUCACUUUGACUGUUAAACGACUUUAUCACUUUGAACGACUGGCUGUGCGGCUGAUUAGGUAGUUGGCGGGGUAACUGUGGCCAACCAAUGGCCCUGCGAUCCAGUAACUUGGGUGUUGAGAGCACGGANCAAGGUCAACCACGGGGCACUUGAAGAACCACGGGGGCCCGGACUCCUUAACGGGGAAGGGCAGCCACGUAAACGUGGACACUUCAUUUGGGGUCCCCACAUUGGGGGAACCGGAACCAGGUUCCUUGGAAAACCCCAAGCCCAAUGGGUUCGCGCGGUUGGGGCACGGGGAUUGGANACGGGCCCCUUCUUGGGGACUUUUUGGUUACAAACUUUUACCUUUUUCAUUAAUUGGGGGGCACCGCACAACAACACACCACGGGGGUUUUUCUUAAACCUUCCGGGUCCUUUGGACCCGGGUUAACCCCAUUACAUUUGGGAAACUUAACACGCCAACCCUGGGGGCUUAAAAACUUCCC
rnacentral:rRNA from 1 species